rnacentral:rRNA from 1 species
GAAGCGGCAACAGCUCAAAUUUGAAAUCUGGCGCAAGCCCGAGUUGUAAUUUGUAGAGGAUGCUUCUGGGUAGCGACCGGUCUAAGUUCCUUGGAACAGGACGUCAUAGAGGGUGAGAAUCCCGUAUGUGACCGGCCCGCACCCUGUACGUAGCUCCUUCGACGAGUCGAGUUGUUUGGGAAUGCAGCUCUAAAUGGGAGGUAAAUUUCUUCUAAAGCUAAAUACCGGCCAGAGACCGAUAGCGCACAAGUAGAGUGAUCGAAAGAUGAAAAGUACUUUGGAAAGAGAGUUAAAAAGCACGUGAAAUUGUUGAAAGGGAAGCGCCUGCAAUCAGACUUCGCGGCAGUGUUCCGUCGGUCUUCUGACCGGCCUACUCUCUGCCGCGAGGCCAUCAUCGUCUUGGCCCGCUGGAUAAGACCUUGGGAAUGUAGCUCACCUUCGGGGGAGUGUUAUAGCUUAGGGUGAUGCAGCGCGGCUGGGGCGAGGUCCGCGCUUCGGCAAGGAUGAUGGCGUAAUGGUUGUCGGCGGCCCGUCUUGAAACACGGACCAAGGAGUCUAACAUCUAUGCGAGUGUUCGGGUGUCAAACCCCUACGCGUAAUGAAAGUGAACGGAGGUGGGAACCGCAAGGUGCACCAUCGACCGAUCCUGAUGUCCUCGGAUGGAUUUGAGUAAGAGCAUAGCUGUUGGGACCCGAAAGAUGGUGAACUAUGCCUGAAUAGGGUGAAGCCAGAGGAAACUCUGGUGGA